CUUGGGAAGUGACAGCAAUCUCUGGCAGGUUUAGAAAUCUGAGAGAUGAGAGAACCAUGAACCCAUGGUUGGCAUCUUUAAGGACACAAGCUGAAGAACUAACAGUAGAAAGAUCAACCUGCUAAAUUAAGGUCACAUGAUGAAUUUUCAAGAAAUUAUGAUAUACAAUCAACCAUAUUUCAGAUAUUAAGAUACCGGUCACAGAAUCAGAUAUCUGAAAACUCAACAGUAUGGAUGUAAUUUCUCAGGCAAAUGCUGUUUCAGGGAAGAAGUGGCAAAAGUGAAGAUCCUGCUCUAUGAUUUCUGAAGAUAAUACUUUAUUAAUGGCAGCUUCACUAAAUGAUCCAGGGUCUUACUGUUUGGACAGAGGAAGAAAACCUGUUUACUGUGCACUUUCUCAAUGCCAUGCAAAGGUUUAUACACCAUGUUGAAGU